GUGGGGAAUCUUGCGCAAUGGGCGAAAGCCUGACGCAGCCAUGCCGCGUGAAUGAUGAAGGUCUUAGGAUUGUAAAAUUCUUUCACCGGGGACGAUAAUGACGGUACCCGGAGAAGAAGCCCCGGCUAACUUCGUGCCAGCAGCCGCGGUAAUACGAAGGGGGCUAGCGUUGCUCGGAAUUACUGGGCGUAAAGGGCGCGUAGGCGGACAGUUUAGUCAGAGGUGAAAGCCCAGGGCUCAACCUUGGAAUUGCCUUUGAUACUGGCUGUCUUGAGUUUGGGAGAGGUGAGUGGAACUCCGAGUGUAGAGGUGAAAUUCGUAGAUAUUCGGAAGAACACCAGUGGCGAAGGCGACUCACUGGCCCAAUACUGACGCUGAGGCGCGAAAGCGUGGGGAGCAAACAGGAUUAGAAACCCGAGUAGUCC
rnacentral:rRNA from 1 species